rnacentral:misc_RNA from 1 species
GAACUGCGAUAAGUAAUGUGAAUUGCAGAAUUCAGUGAAUCAUCGAGUCUUUGAACGCACAUUGCGCCCCCUGGCAUUCCGGGGGGCAUGCCUGUCCGAGCGUCAUUUCUGCCCUUCAAGCCCGGCUUGUGUGUUGGGUCGUCGUCCCCUCCGGGGGACGGGCCCGAAAGGCAGCGGCGGCACCGCGUCCGGUCCUCGAGCGUAUGGGGCUUUGUCACCCGCUCGAUAAGGACCGGCCGGGCGCCAGCCGGCGUCUCCAACCUUUUUUUCUCAGGUUGACCUCGGAUCAGGUAGGGAUACCCGCUGAACUUAAGC